rnacentral:rRNA from 1 species
GUCAGGUGGACGUUGGGGCGUGGAAGUACGGGCAGUUGGAUGUUCGGAGGGCUUCGUGCUCAACGGCUCCUUCGGCUUUUCCACACACCCCCGUCCGUGACAAGCCUCCUCGCUCGGGUACAUAACGGGAAUCGGUCAAACGGAGUGUGGUCGGAGGUUGGGGUGCGUGACUUCGGUUGCGUGCUUCUUCUUUCGGCUGCGUCAAGCUCCAUCGGUUUCACGGUCACCUUGAGUAAAUCAGAGUGCUCAAAGCAGUCGUAGGGGCCUUGCGCCCUGUGAACAGUCUUGACGGACUGACUUGGUUUUGCAUGGCAUGUCGGAAGACGACGUCGUGUGCUGGCUCAGAGGAUAAAUCAGUGGUACAAGCCAGCCUCGACGUAAUGAUUAAAAGGGACGGUCGAGGGCAUUGGUAUUGCGAGGCGAGAGGUGAAAUUCUGUGACCCCCGCAAGACCUCCUGAAGCGAAAGCGUCUGCCAAGGACGUUUUCAUUAAUCAUGAACGAAAGUUAGAGGAUCGAAGGCGAUCAGAUACCGCCCUAGUUCUAACCCUAAACGAUGCCAACCAUCAAUCCGCGCGUAGCACCCUUCUUAACGGGCUCGGCGGGCAGCUCCCCACUCACGGGAAACCAGAGCCUCUGGGUUCCGGGGGGAGUCUGGUUGCAAAGCUGAAACUUAAAGGAAUUGACGGAAAGGCACCACCAGGCGUGGAGCCUGCGGCUUAAUUUGACUCAACACGGGCCAUCUCACCAGGCCAGCACUCUUGUACGAUUGACAGAUUGAGAGCUCUUUCUCGAUUCAGUGGAUGGUGGUGCAUGGCCGUUCUUAGUUGGUGGAGUGAUCUGUCUGGUUAAUUCCGAUAACGAACGAGACUCUCCCCUGCUAACUAGUCGGUUGGAUCUUGAUCAGCGGGUUGCGUGCCGAGUAACUCUCGCUGUGCGUGGUGCGUCUCGGGCCUCACGGUUCGUUGCGUGCUCGUGUGGCGUUGGAUGCCUUGGAUCACACUGCACCCCAAGUCCGCCGCUCAUGCUAUAACUCUUCUUAGAGGGAUUCACGGCACUGAAGCCGUAAGAGACUGAGAGCAAUAACAGGUCUGUGAUGCCCUUAGAUGCUCUGGGCCGCACGCGCGCUACAAUGCCGGGCACAGCAGGUGUUUCUCCUGCUCCGACAGGAGCGGGUAACCCUCUGAAAGCCAGUGUUCUUGCAAGUGCUUCCUCCCUCGUGGAGUUGCACAGAGGCGUGCUUGGGCCUGGGACUUGCAAUUCUUUCCCACCAACGAGGAAUGCCUAGUAGCGGCGGGUCACUGAGCCCGCCGUGACUCAGUCCCUGCCCUUUGUACACACCGCCCGUCGCUACUACCGAUUGGGUGUACCAGUGAGAGCCUUGGACUGGCGUCCGUUGUUGCUCGCAAGA